CCUACGGGUGGCAGCAGUGAGGAAUAUUGGUCAAUGGGCGAGAGCCUGAACCAGCCAAGUCGCGUGAAGGAUGACGGCCCUACGGGUUGUAAACUUCUUUUGUCAGGGAGCAAUUGAGUCCACGUGUGGUCUUAGCGAGAGUACCUGAAGAAAAAGCAUCGGCUAACUCCGUGCCAGCAGCCGCGGUAAUACGGAGGAUGCGAGCGUUAUCCGGAGUUAUGUGGUUUAAAGGUUGCGUAGGCGGAAUAUAAAGUCAGCGGUAAAAAUUCGGGGCUCAACCCCGUCGUGCCGUUGAAACUGAUGUUCUUGAGUGGGCGAGAAGUAUGCGGAAUGCGUGGUGUAGCGGGGAAAUGCAUAGAUAUCACGCAGAACUCCGAUUGCGAAGGCAGCAUACCGGCGCCCAACUGACGCUGAAGCACGAAAGCGUGGGUAUCGAACAGGAUUAGAUACCCUUGUAGUC
rnacentral:rRNA from 1 species